GGAAUCAACGCUGGCGGCGUGCCUAACACAUGCAAGUCGAACGAGAAAGUGGGAGCAAUCCCACGAGUAAAGUGGCGCACGGGUGAGUAACACGUGACUAACCUACCCUUGAGUGGGGGAUAACCUAGGGAAACCUGGGCUAAUACCGCAUAAUACCUACGGGUCAAAGGAGCAAUUCGCUUAAGGAGGGGGUCGCGGCAGAUUAGUUAGUUGGCGGGGUAAUGGCCCACCAAGACAGUGAUCUGUAU
rnacentral:rRNA from 1 species